CCGGCGACCCGCGGAAAUUGAAUGUCUGCCUAGCGAGUGUUUUGUGAAUUUUUAUCGUUCGUUAUCUUCGCCAUCGUACGUUACUGCGCUGCGCAGAAUGACGGAAACGAUCCCAGGAAUCCUUCGGGAGAAAUUGGAAUGAUAAUAUUGCACAGGCACAACUACCGGAGGUGCUUCUGCAAGGUUUGGAAAGACUCAAAGCCUACGUCAUCGUGUAAGCCCAGAUAUCAACUACGAAAACCGCCUGAGCACUCGAUAAUGGAUGCAGAUGUUACGAUGAAGUUGUGGAAUGUGGAUAACUUAAUUGGAUAAUUUAAAACGGCAGAAUUCAACCAUCAAUCAAAUCCUGAAGGAGAAACUGUAACGGGGAAAUCACAUAGGCCUAGGGUGAGAAAGGCAGUGUAUUGACCGACAGAAGAGUUCUUCAACUGUUGACACAUCCGCUUCUUCACUUCUUCGUUUGUAAGACUGAUUCUCAGAAUUGGGACGUUCACGUUAUCAUCGAAUGGAAUGGAAUUCGAAUCUCCGACCUCGAGGGCGCAGCUUUAUAGGCAAGUUUCGUCAGAACGCAUUGUGCCUUUGUUUACCUACUUGCUGAAGGAGGCACGUAGCAGUUACACAUCAAUAGUGUGUCGCAGAGAUGAAGGUGAAGAGCAUUUGUCUAGCAACUCCAUCCUAAAAUGCUUGCUGUAAAUCUGAAAAGAAGCACCUUUAUGGGCCACCCCCAAGGGGAAAAGAUAAACAGUCUGACUGUCUAGUGAUCCCCUUAGAGUGCUCCAGUUAAAACGUCGCUCGUCGUCACCGCUGGAAUCCCCAGAGGAACACUCCUGGAAGAGCAGUCGCCUUGGUGCUGCGUCAGAACCUCCUCCACAGCAACCUUCGCGCUCACCCAGAAACCUUCAGAGGGAUGCAAAAGAGCAAUACCUACGUUGGCAUACAACUGGUCAAGGAAGUGUGUCCCAAUGGUAUUUGGGAAAAAAAAUAUUAGUUGUGGUCUACUGAGUAGGAAGUUCUCCCGGGUCCGAUUCCCGAGUAAGCCAGAAGUAUUUAGGCUGAAAUGUGGUCAUGUUGACUGCUGUGGAAUGCAACCAGAAUGAAGGUACUAAGCUGGCAACCUCAUCCCAAAAGGAUUGUUGAGAACUGAAUGGCUAAGUGGUGCAGGCACUCUGGCCUCCCAAAAGAGUAAA